rnacentral:rRNA from 1 species
UACGUAGGGACCGAGCGUUGUCCGGAAUCACUGGGCGUAAAGGGCGCGUAGGCGGUCUCUUAAGCGUGUGGUGAAAGCCCGGAGCUCAACUCCGGGUCGGCCGUGCGAACUGGGGGACUGGAGCUUGUCAGAGGCAGGCGGAAUUCCGGGUGUAGCGGUGGAAUGCGUAGAGAUCCGGAAGAACACCGGUGGCGAAGGCGGCCUGCUGGGACAGUGCUGACGCUGAGGCGCGACAGCGUGGGGAGCAAACAGG